UUAUCUCUCGAAAUUUAAUGU
ensembl:piRNA 21ur-10071 ncRNA